GAUGAACGCUAGCUACAGGCUUAACACAUGCAAGUCGAGGGGCAGCAUGAACUUAGCUUGCUAAGUUUGAUGGCGACCGGCGCACGGGUGAGUAACACGUAUCCAACCUGCCGAUGACUCGGGGAUAGCCUUUCGAAAGAAAGAUUAAUACCCGAUGGCAUAGUUCUUCCGCAUGGUAGAACUAUUAAAGAACUUCGGUCAUCGAUGGGGAUGCGUUCCAUUAGGUUGUUGGCGGGGUAACGGCCCACCAAGCCUUCGAUGGAUAGGGGUUCUGAGAGGAAGGUCCCCCACAUUGGAACUGAGACACGGUCCAAACUCCUACGGGAGGCAGCAGUGAGGAAUAUUGGUCAAUGGACGAGAGUCUGAACCAGCCAAGUAGCGUGAAGGAUGACUGCCCUAUGGGUUGUAAACUUCUUUUAUACGGGAAUAAAGUGAGGCACGUGUGCCUUUUUGUAUGUACCGUAUGAAUAAGGAUCGGCUAACUCCGUGCCAGCAGCCGCGGUAAUACGGAGGAUCCGAGCGUUAUCCGGAUUUAUUGGGUUUAAAGGGAGCGUAGGCGGACGCUUAAGUCAGUUGUGAAAGUUUGCGGCUCAACCGUAAAAUUGCAGUUGAUACUGGGUGUCUUGAGUACAGUAGAGGCAGGCGGAAAUCGUGGUGUAGCGGUGAAAUGCUUAGAUAUCACGAAGAACUCCGAUUGCGAAGGCAGCCUGCUGGACUGUAACUGACGCUGAUGCUCGAAAGUGUGGGUAUCAAACAGGAUUAGAUACCCUGGUAGUCCACACAGUAAACGAUGAAU
rnacentral:rRNA from 1 species